UUGCCUUCAUCAAACUGAAUAUGCCGUGGAUGACUGCUCACUAACAGCUUCUCAGAAAUCAAGUAUUUUGAAACCUCUUUCAAAUUUAAAGGAGAUUUUAAAAGCUCACAACUCAGUGCACAAACAGAGGAAAAUGUUCAAAAAAAGGGGAUUUGUUGAGCCAGAGGAAAUCUUUCUUGGCAACAAGGAUUCGUAUAUAUAUGUCCCAAUCCUUGAAAAUUUGAAGGCGCUUCUGAAGCACUCUGAUGUACGAAACCAUGUCUUAAGUCAAAAGCCUUGUCCUAGUGCUAGUGAUGAUCAUAUAAUAGACAGUUUCUCAUCUGCACAACACUGUCAAAGUUCUCCCUUUCUAUCUGACCAGAAUUGCUUGCACAUUCAGCUUUACUUGGAUGAUUUUCAAGUGGUGAAUCCUCUAGGCACUUCAACCAAGAAGAAUAAAUUAUGUGCCAUGUAUUGGUCAUUGGGUAAUAUCCCACCUCAUUUGAAUAGCCAAUUGUUCACUAUACAAAUUUUGUUGCUGACCAAAAGUGUAAAUAUAAAAAAAUAUGGAUUUAAAAAAAUAUUACAAAAAUUUUUACAUGAUAUGCAUAUUCUUGAGGAGCAGGGGCUGAAAGUAGAAACUUCCCAUGGAAACUUUAAUUUCAAGGGAACUUUAGCUUUUGUACUUAGUGAUAAUUUGGCUGCCCAUGAACUGGGGGGCUUUGUGGAAAGUUUUUCAUCCCUGCGUGUGUGCAGGUUUUGCAUGGCAACUAAAGAAAUGAUAAAAGACAAAUUUACAGAAGAGGAAUUUGUCUUACGAACAGAGGAAAGCUACAAUGAAGCUGCCAGAAUUGUUGAAGCUAACAAAGAAAUGUGUACCACUUAUGGCAUAAAAUCAAACUCAGCUUUGAACAGCUUAAAAUAUUUUCAUGUCUGUUGGGGGUUCCCGAGUGACAUAGCUCACGACUUGUUUGAAGGUUUCUGUUUAGAUCUGCUGAAAACAGUUCUAACUCAAUGCAUGUCUAAAAAAUACUUCACAUUAAAUUAUUUGAACGAUAGAAUUGAAAAUUUCCCAUACACUGGGCGUGAUAAAAGGAACAAGCCUGCUCCCUUAAGCAAAGACAAGCAUGGUGGACUCAGUGUAAGGCAAACUGCUGCCCAGUGUGCAAACUUGGUGCGAAUGCUCCCAUAUUUGGUGGCGGAAAGAAUUCCCACAAAUGAUCCUCAUUGGUGCUGUUAUGUGGAUUUCCUUGAUCUUCUUGAUUUAAUUUUAGCCCCUUCUUUGUCUUUUGGACACAUCCAUGUUAUGAAAGAUUCUAUUUCCGCUUUUCUUGAAAAUUUUUUCCAUCUCAACCCUGAUUUGCCUGUAAAACCCAAAUCACACUAUAUCGUCCACUAUCCUUCACAAUUUUUGAAAUAUGGGCCACUGAUCCAUCACUCUACACUUCGCUUUGAGGGAAAACAUAGCAAUUUGAAGUCAGCAACCAAAAUUUGCAAAAAUUAUAUAAAUACUUGUAAGACUAUUGUGAAUAGGCACCAGUUCAUGCAGUGUUUACAUCACAGGAAUGAAGAUUAUUUGAAAGAAAACGACAAAGAGUUUCCCAAGCUUACCAAGAUGGUAGCCCUGCAAACUCUGGAUGAGAGAAUAUAUACACUUCUCUCACCAAUUGUUAAAGGAGAAUCAUUAAUUCCUUUAUCCAAAUCAGUGAAGUACCAGGGAUUGAAGUAUGAGCAAGGAGCGGUGAUUGUCACAUCCUCAGACACUGACCUACAAUUUAAUGAAAUUCAUGAGGUGGUGUAUGUUAACGAUCAAAUUUUCUUCAUUGUAAACCCUUUAACUACGGACCAUUUUUCCGGCCAUUUUCAUGCAUAUGCCUUGAAAAGAACUUCAUCUAUAAAAUUAGUACCUCUAUCAAUUUUGAAGUCUCCAUUCCCCCUUCAAAUGUAUGGAACUGAAGGACAGUUGAAGUUUGUGUCUUUGAUGCAUUUCAUCCCUUCAACAGAUUGAAUUAAGUUCUAAAAAUGUUUCAAUAUAUCAUACUGCUUUCAAAUAGAAAAUUUCUUGUGAAAGUGGCCAACAAAGAAGAGCUCCUUCAGGCAGCAAAGGAACGGUUACAAGAAAAAGGACUUUUAAAAAGCCAACAAUGUCAUCUCGAAUAUUACAUGGCCAAUCUCAAUACAUAUUGUGAAGUUGAUCCCGAAGAUCUAGCUGACAGCGGGAUUUUGAAAAUGGUAUUUGAUACCCCUGAAAUUUUGGAUGAUGAAAGGAACUUGAGUGCAUGUCCAGUUACACAGAGGCCCGCUGAAGAGAAUAUUCUCCCAGUCUCUACCACAAGAAGAGAAUAUUGCGAAAAUAGCACAGAAUCUGUUCAUUCUGUUCAGACUGCCAAUAUGUUGGAUCAUUCUCCUAAUGAUAUCCAACAACCAAGUUCAUCUCCAGCUUCAAUGGAAGUGAUGAAAUGUACCAACCUAAAUGAAACUCUAAAUCCCAAAUGGCCUGCAGUAUUCAGCAUUUCAAGUAAUAUCUUCCCCAAGACCUUGAGGGAAGCUCUAGAGGCUGAAGAAACAUUAAACAGAAAAAACAUGACGGAGUUAUUAGAUUGUUUAUACAACCUAAUAACAAAAUUUACCUUCUAUCCAACAAAACAAAACUAUCAUGCUGUUGCAUUAGCCUUACUGAUGAAGUACCCUCAUCUAAAGAAAGAUAUUGAGUUUGGUGAUGCUGUGGAAAUAUGGAGGACGAGAAUGUCAAUGAAAGCUAGGAAUGCAAGACAAAGACGGGAUAGUCAAGAGCCUUGUGUCAUGGCCAUGAGAGCAAAGAAGAAAUUGCAUCUGCCACAGGAAGAAAAUGAUGACAUGCCCCCAAAGAAAAUUCCCAAAAAUGUUCCAGCAUUUGGUGUGGUAAAUUACAUGCCAAGCAAGCCCCUUACUGAAGAUGACAUAUCAAUUCAACGUCACCGUACACAGAUGAUCAAUGAGCUAAAGAAGAAAGCUCCGAAUCCAAGAACAAUUGAAGAGCUCAUGAAGCUCACAUUUCAUGACCGAAGGCAGCUCAUCAUAACAGAAAAUGCAACAGUCGCUUACAUUGCUGAACUGUAUCCAGCUAUUUUCAAUCCAAAUCAGAUACUCUUCGAGUUUGAGCGCUUGACGGAGAUCAACUUGAUGGAAAAACUUCGGGAAAGUAUGAAGAUUCAUGGGAGAGCGAUUCACUUGCUGAGUCAAGUUGCCAUUCCUGAAAAGCGUGAUUUGGAUUCAGCUGAAUAUGAAGAUCAAAUGAUGUCCAGUGCUUUGCUCCUUAUUCCAGCACUGAUGCGCGAAACAAUUAAAUAUGAUAUGCCUGUGGAGGGAUCCAUUAUCAAGGCGGCCCCAGGUCUUCAUUUCACUGACGCUUCGCUUUCCACCUCUGAAGGUAUCAUCCUCGCAGAAGGCAGGGAGAUUUGCAAGGUAUCUGGCAUCACCGAAGGUUUCUUGGCAUGGUUUGGCACGUUCUACGUGUUUAAUAUGUCUUAUCCAAAACAUGCCAAAAAAACUCUAUGCUUCAUUCAACGAGCCCUACUUGGUCUGAAGGACAAAAGCAAGACACCCCUCAUCGUUCUCGAGACCUUACGCAAGUUGUCUAGCUUGAAAUAAUCAUUAAAUAUUUUAUAGCCAGUGCGAUGCAGUAGUUCAGAUGUCUCCUGGACAAGAAUUUUCUGUUAUGUUUAAUUAGGUUAAUUUCUACAAGUGUCAUCACCGAGCCAGUUUGUUAGUCUUACCGACGCUAUUACUGCUAUAGUAGUUUUCUAAUUUAGUUCAUUCAUACUGUAAGGGAAACUCGUUUAUUUUUUCAAUUGAAUUAACAUUUUUCGAUGUUAAGACGAUCCUUCCUGACCAUCUUAACAUUUUUCCAGGUGAUAGCGUUAUUAUUUUUUCUUCCUCGUCGCUGGUCAUUCAACUCGCUGGGUCCUCUCCCUCUGACGUGCCUCACUUGGUCAUGUGCUGUCCCACGGCGUGCCUCUCUGCAGGCAUGUUGUGCUCUCCCUCGCUGGUAUGUGGUCCUCUCCCUCAGGCAUGUGGUGCUCUCCUUCGGGUCUGUGGUGCUCUCCCUCGGUGUCUGUGGUGCUCUCCCUCGGUGUCUGUGGUGCUCUCCCUCGGUGUCUGUGGUGCUCUCCCUCCCUCACGGUGUUCUUUUCUUUUGACUGGAUUCUUUGGUUCGCUGAUAUUUUAUGGUUCCCUGAUGUUUUAUUUUGAUGGUGUUCUUUUAUUGUUAAAAAAGGAAAACGAAUACUCUCUCGGAUAUCUUGUAUUAUUAAUUUCGUGGACGAUGCGGACUAAAAUAUAAAAUAUAAUGU